CGCCUACGGGAGGCUGCAGUGGGGAAUAUUGGACAAUGGGCGCAAGCCUGAUCCAGCCAUGCCGCGUGAGUGAUGAAGGCCUUAGGGUUGUAAAGCUCUUUCGCCCGCGAAGAUAAUGACGGUAGCGGGAGAAGAAGCCCCGGCUAACUUCGUGCCAGCAGCCGCGGUAAUACGAAGGGGGCUAGCGUUGUUCGGAAUCACUGGGCGUAAAGCGUACGUAGGCGGAUGCUUAAGUCAGAGGUGAAAGCCUGGAGCUCAACUCCAGAACUGCCUUUGAUACUGGGCGUCUCGAGUCCGGGAGAGGUGAGUGGAACUGCUAGUGUAGAGGUGAAAUUCGUAGAUAUUAGCAAGAACACCAGUGGCGAAGGCGGCUCACUGGCCCGGUACUGACGCUGAGGUACGAAAGCGUGGGGAGCAAACAGGAUUAGAUACCCCGGUAGUC
rnacentral:rRNA from 2 species